rnacentral:rRNA from 1 species
ACCUGCGGAAGGAUCAUUACCUAGAGUUGUAGGCUUUGCCUGCUAUCUCUUACCCAUGUCUUUUGAGUACCUUACGUUUCCUCGGUGGGUUCGCCCACCGAUUGGACAAACUUAAACCCUUUGCAGUUGAAAUCAGCGUCUGAAAAAACUUAAUAGUUACAACUUUCAACAACGGAUCUCUUGGUUCUGGCAUCGAUGAAGAACGCAGCGAAAUGCGAUAAGUAGUGUGAAUUGCAGAAUUCAGUGAAUCAUCGAAUCUUUGAACGCACAUUGCGCCCCUUGGUAUUCCAUGGGGCAUGCCUGUUCGAGCGUCAUUUGUACCUUCAAGCUCUGCUUGGUGUUGGGUGUUUGUCUCCUGUAGACUCGCCUCAAAACAAUUGGCAGCCGGCGUAUUGAUUUCGGAGCGCAGUACAUCUCGCGCUUUGCACUCAUAACGACGACGUCCAAAAGUACAUUUUUACACUCUUGACCUCGGAUCAGGUAGGGAUACCCGCUGAACUUAAGCAUAU